UAAACUCAGAAAGGGGGCUCGUCUUCUGGAAAAGAGAGUAUCAAGCAAUUUAGGUGAUGACCUCAGUUGUUCCCCCACAUCUUAUUUAGUUCCAGUGGUUAGGUAUCCCUCACGUGACUAGAAAGCGCUGCCUGGAAUGCUAGUAGAAGAUUGGGCAUUAGGGCAGGUGAGGCGAAGCCUCGUUCUGGAUUUCCCCACCUAGAGUCAAAGAAGAAAGACCUUCCAACCAGUACUGUAGGGCAGCGACAGGGAGGACUGUGGAGUUUGCAAAGAAAAAGAACAGUGAAAAGGGGCUGCGUUGCCCAUACAAGUCGGGGCUUUGGAUAGCUCAUGACACAAAGACUCAAAAUAUGCAAUAUAGCAUCAUCAAAGGAGCAAAGGAUAGACUUCCGAUUUGAGACGGUGGAAUGAAAAGUCUGUUCCAGUUACUCAGCCCAGCCGACAACCUGCCCAGUAGAAGACCAUGGUUGGAUGCAUGUAGAAUUCUACAAGGUUGUU
rnacentral:lncRNA from 1 species